GAAAACAAGCCCUGGAAACAGAACGAAGUGCCCCCAUUGCUUUUCAAAGCGCACACAUGGCCUCGGACCAAGUUAUUUCUAAGGGUUUCUGCGGAGGAAGCCAGACGAGCAAAUUCCUUGACCAUAGGACAAGUCUCAGGAUUGGGGGAUAUUCGUCUUGCCCCUUUGCAUUUCAGAAAGGGCCUAGCAAAUUGUAAGGUUCGAGGCUGGAACGUCUCAAAGAAGUACUAGAGAAGACUCUGAAAGCAAACUUCUUUCAGCUUAACAGAAAAACCGACCAAACUCGAGAAGAGAGCUUGUAAGGAGAUCGGACGGAAACAAGCGGGAGAAGGUGGUGAUAAAGGAGGUGGUCAACUGAGAACAAAGAAGCAUGUGGAUCUAACUGCCACUGACGUGUCACAAUCACCUGGAGCUCCAGAAUUACGUGUCACUCAUCAUGAGAAAAUGGAAUAGAGAGAUGGAGAGGGCAAGGCAAUUGAUAGUAUCUUUGAUGGUUCCACUCUUUCCAGCCCAAGAAGUCAGACGUCAUGCUCCGUCGUGUGGCAUUUCAUGCGAUUUUGGAAGUGGAGGUUGGUGUGUGACACUGGAAGGCCAUGCAGGCCCACCACUUCAACUUGGACCCCAGACAGACAGCAGAGCUGAGCUCCUUCAUAAAGGAAAAAGAAUGGAAGCACCAUGAAGUCUGAAAUUUUGUCUUGUUCAAUCCUGCAUCCCCAGUGCGUGGCACAAAGUAGCCAUUUAAUAAAUAUUUGUUGAA